UAAAGCCGGAUUUUAUAUUAGCUGGUGCCAAACAUUUGAAAGUUUAAUGUUUAAUCAAUCAAUUUCCAAAAAGACUGUCAUGGGUGAUCGAACCCAUGUUUCGUCAUCCAUCUCCCAUGAUUCGGGGGUUAUUUCUACGUCAAAACGACAUAUGAAAACGAUGGCCAUGAUUUUGUUUUGAGCGAACAUCCAAACGUCCGGCUUUUCAAAAAGAAUUUUCUCUUUAUUUUUGUCGUGAUCAUCUCGAUCGAUAAGCGAUCGAGACUCACAGAAGACGACCAGAAUUGCAAGGCAGCUAUCAUGCUUUCGUGAGAGAAAUGUCUCUAGAGUACGCUCUGUUUUUCUCGUUUUUUUCCUUUCUCGAUCAUCACUGCUGCCCAUCACGUUUGUAAUAAUGAUGGCCGACUUGUCGAGAAUCUUCCCCUUUUCCUUAUCACCGCUAUUCGCUGGAAGAUUAAUGAUUAUUCCUCCUUCUACGUCUGGCCAUUUCGACACAUUUGUGCUGUUUCGCAAGACAGUUGUGGCCACAGGGAUAGAUGAUUUUGAAGAAAAAACUGGCGGGACGUUGACUCACCUGACAUUGAUACCAAAGCUUUUCACAUUCAAGGACAUUGCGAAGAAAAAGAUUGCAGACAGAAUUUAACAAACAAAUAAAUACAGCACCUGGGCACACCAAGGUCUGCAUGUGCAGACACACGCGGUGCCAGUCAUCGUUGUCAAAUGUUUUGUGAAAAGGAACAUGUUUCUCGAAUGAGAGGUAAAUAUUUCAAAAAUAAUCAUAACUACAAAAAAAAAGGGAGAAGAACCUACUUAGCCCGGGAGAAAGUAGUUUUGACCUUAAACUUUGUUUUUUUUUUUUAAAUGGUCAUGACGUUAAGUCGAGGUUUCCAUACACACACGAAAUCAUUUUUUCUUCCGGCAUGGUAUGGAGCGAACUAUAAAACCUGGAAACAUCUUUUUGGCUUGGCUCUUUCUUUCUAUUUUUGUUUGUUUUGUGCUCCAGUGAACACAACAGAUUCGGCUAGUGACGUCAAGUAGGCCGAGGUCUGAACAAAGUUUACGCAGUAAAGGCCAAAUCAUUCGAUUUUCCAUGUAUUUAUUCAUCAAAUGUUUGCUCAGUUAUUAUUCAUAGUCGUCGACGAGGAAACAGCAUGGGGAAGUUGUAAGAUGACACAAACACGCGAGGAAAGAAAAACAAAAAAUUAUAAUAAGGAAAACAACGUCAGUUAACAUCUUUUUUCUUUCCAGCGCAGAACCGAAGGUAGAAAACAAAAUAAAAAUAAACAAAAUUAUGGAAGUGGCAUCAUCUAACUAGCUACAGUUCAUGACUAAAUCAAGGACUGGCAAGGAAAGAAAACAAUAUGAGAAAAA